GAAUCAAUUUAAUUUGAAAUUUAAUUUAAUUAUUAAGUUAAAUAAAAAUUUUAUUAAAAAAAAUAUUUUUAAGUUUUAUUAUUAUUUAAAGAAAAAAGUAUUAAAAUUAUAGUUUAUUAGUAUAGUGAUAGAAUUUUUUUUUAAAAUUUAAUAAGAAAGAUUUAUUUUUUGUACCUUGUGUAUCAGGGUUUAUUAAUUAAAUUUUAUUUAUGUUUUUAAGUUUCUCGAUUUUAAAAGAGUUAAUUAUUUAUAAAUUUUAUUGUAAAAUAACUAUUUAAAAUAAAUAAUUAGUAAUGAAACGUUAUUCGUUUUUAAAUAUAUCUAGUUUUUAAAGAAAAAAAUUCAAUUUUAUUUAUAUAAAAAUAUUAAAGUUUUAUGAUAAAUAAAAAUUUUAUAUAAAUUAUAUUAUUUGGGAUAAGCUAGAUAAUAGAUUAUUAAAAAUUAAUAAAUAUAUUAUUUUAAAUUGUAGAAUUAGAAAUUUUCAUCAUUUAGUUUGUUAUAAUUAAUUAAUUUUUUAAAAAGAUUUGUAUUAAUUUUAAAUUUUUUAUUUAAAUAUUAAAUUUAAUAGUUUAAUUUAAGAAAUUAUGAUAAAAUUAGUAUAAUAUAUUGUAUUUUAUAAGUAUUAUUUAAAUGUUAUAAAAAGGAAUUCGGCAAAUAUAUUUUUCGCCUGUUUAUUAAAAACAUGUCUUUUUGAUUUUAAUUUAAAGUCUAACCUGCCCAAUGAGUAAUUGAAUGGCCGCAGUAUUUUGACUGUGCAAAGGUAGCAUAAUCAUUAGUUUCUUAAUUAGGAACUGGUAUGAAAGGUUGGACGAGAAAAUAACUGUCUCUUUAUAAAUUAGUUAGAAUUUUAUUUUUAAGUUAAAAAGCUUAAAUUUUUUUAAAAGACGAGAAGACCCUAUAGAGUUUUAUAUAAUUUGUUUUAAUAGUUUAAAUUGAAUUUUAAAAAUUUUAUUUAAAAUUAUAUUUAAUUGGGGUGAUUGAAAAAAUUAAUUAACUUUUUUUAAAUAAAAACAUUAAUGUAUGAUUUAUUGAUCCAUAAUUUAUGAUUAAAAGAUUAAAUUACCUUAGGGAUAACAGCGUAAUUUCUUUGAAGAGUUCAAAUCGAUAAAGAAGUUUGCGACCUCGAUGUUGGAUUAAAAUUUAAUUUUGGUGUAGAAGCUAAAAAAUUAGGUCUGUUCGACCUUUGAAAUUUUACAUGAUCUGAGUUUAAACCGGUGUGAGCCAGGUUGGUUUCUAUCUUUAAAAUAUAAAAAGAUAUUUUAGUACGAAAGGACCAAAUAUUAAUAAAAUUUAUUAAAUUUUGAACAUUAUUAAAAUUAUUUUGGCAGAUUAGUGCAUUAAAUUUAGAAUUUAAUUAUGUAAUUU
rnacentral:rRNA from 1 species